CAUGAAGCUGGAAUCGCUAGUAAUCGCGAAUCAGCAUGUCGCGGUGAAUACGUUCCCGGGUCUUGUACACACCGCCCGUCACACCAUGGGAGUUGGUAACGCCCGAAGUCAGUGACCUAACCGAAAGGGAGGAGCUGCCGAAGGCGGGGCCGGUAACUGGGGUGAAGUCGUAACAAGGUAAC
rnacentral:rRNA from 1 species